GCGUCGAUGGUGCAACGGUUUAGGACAUGCUCCGAGAAACAGUGGGAUCUGGGUUCGAAUCCCAGCUGACGCA